rnacentral:rRNA from 1 species
AUUGAACGCUGGCGGUAGGCUUAACACAUGCAAGUCGUGCGAGAAAGUAUCUUCGGAUAUGAGUAGAGCGGCGGACGGGUGAGUAACGCGUAGGAAUCUACCUAGUAGAAGGGGAUAGCCCGGGGAAACCCGGAUUAAUACCGUAUACCUCCUUCGGGAGAAAGAAGGCCUCUCUUUGAAGCUUUCGCUAUUAGAUGAGCCUGCGUAAGAUUAGCUUGUUGGUGAGGUAAAGGCUCACCAAGGCUACGAUCUUUAGCUGGUCUGAGAGGACGAUCAGCCACAUUGGGACUGAGACACGGCCCAGACUCCUACGGGAGGCAGCAGUGGGGAAUAUUGGACAAUGGGCGCAAGCCUGAUCCAGCCAUACCGCGUGUGUGAAGAAGGCCUUCGGGUUGUAAAGCACUUUAAGCAGGGAGAAAAAGUUAUAAGUUAAUACCUUAUAACCUUGAUGUUACCUGCAGAAUAAGCACCGGCUAAUUCCGUGCCAGCAGCCGCGGUAAUACGGAAGGUGCAAGCGUUAAUCGGAAUUACUGGGCGUAAAGCGCGCGUAGGUGGUUUGUUAAGUUGGAUGUGAAAGCCCUGGGCUCAACCUAGGAACUGCAUCCAAAACUAACUCACUAGAGUACGAUAGAGGGAGGUAGAAUUCAUAGUGUAGCGGUGGAAUGCGUAGAUAUUAUGAAGAAUACCAGUGGCGAAGGCGGCCUCCUGGAUCUGUACUGACACUGAGGUGCGAAAGCGUGGGUAGCGAACAGGAUUAGAUACCCUGGUAGUCCACGCCGUAAACGAUGACAACUAGCUGUUGGGAGACAAUGUCUUUCAGUGGCGCAGCUAACGUUUUAAGUUGUCCGCCUGGGGAGUACGGCCGCAAGGCUA